rnacentral:misc_RNA from 1 species
AUCGAUCGAUACGCCCCACUGUACCACUCGUACGAAGUUUCACACACCCUCCGACCACCUCUCCGGACGACAUCAGCAUGCGUGGCUUAGGCGUGUUGGGACUGCGGGGUGUGCCGACGCGACGGCCAUGGCUCUGCGACGUGGCGCGACGAAGCGGUGAUAUUUCGAUGUGCUCGACGGCGUCCACGUCGUACCGGUCUCAGGCGACGAGUGCAGGGGGCACGCCUCCUCUACCACCCCCCACCUCCUCUCCGGUGCCGGCGCCGGCGGUCGACAACACCCUCUUCCACAACAGCGCUGCGGUGCACGGCACCAUCCCGUUUGGCCGGCACUUAUCCCCUGGGGAGCUGGCUCUGCCCCAGCACCCGCGCGGGUCGCACUUGUCGGCUCGCAACAUCGCCACCGAGGCGUUGCAGAUGAAGAAGCUCCAUCAGGAGCGCGGUGGAAACCCGAUGCUGGCCCAGCAGGCUCGCCGCGUCCUGUUUGCCACCUCGAUCACCGGGCAGAACAUCGACGCCCGCUCCGUCGCCCUUCUGCUGAACACGGCGGUGUACUUCGGCAUGGAGAGCGACGCCCGCGUGGUGCGGGAGUGCAUCGACUUCUGCCUGAAGAACGACAAGUUCAUCUCGCUGGACAUUAUGCCAAUCGUGGUGACGGCGUGCGCGACGCUCAAGUCGCGCGACGCGCGCGAGGUGAUCGAGCUGCAGGCAAUCAAGGCAACCAAAAAUGCGCGCUUCCUAGAUGCGAAAGGGGUCACCAACAUCAUCAGCGCCUUUUCCAAGACGGGCAUCAACCAUGAGAAGCUAUUUGGGCUGCUCUCGAUGCGUGUUCAGACCCUCGCGCGCGUCGGCGAGUUUGAAGCGGCACACCUUGUCAUCCUAGCGAACGCCUUCGCGAGGCUGCGCUUUAGAGAGCAACACGUUUUCGGUGCCAUCGCCCGGCGCGCCAUGUCGCUUCGGGAGCGCGUCACCGUGAAUGAGCUGGUGCCCCUCAUCAAUGCCUUUUCAAAGGCGGGGCUUAAGGACCCGAAGUUGAGCAAGCGCUUCGCGGGAAAGGCGAUGGAGUACGUGGAUCAGAUGAACGCCGAACAGGUGGCGAUGAUGUUUCAGGCUUUUGCCUACUUUGGCAUCCGCUACGAUCAGCUCUUCGGCGUGCUGACCAAUCGUGCUGUGGAGCUGAUCGACGAGUUCAACGCGCAGUACAUCAGCACCACGCUCGCCUCCUUUCAACGCAUUGGCAUCAACAACCCCGAGCUGUUCGACAACCUGGCCGAGCGUGCGCUUGCGGUGGUUCAGGAUCACGACGCGAAGGAUAUUGCCCUCACUGUAACAGCUCUGGCGCACUUUGGGCUCAAGGAUGAGGAGCUGUUCAAGCGUCUGGCCUCGCACGCCGCGUCCAUUGCAGACCAGUUCGAUCCAGUGGGGCUGGUGAACACGAUCCAUGCAUUUGCUCGCACCUUCUUUCUGCAAGAGGACAUGGUCGUCGCCCUGUCGGAGCGCUGCGUGUACGUGUGCCGCCACCUCGACGCGAAUCAGGUGCGUCGCCUGCUCUGGUCGCUCGCCAAGUUCCAGGUGAAGGACCCCCGCAUCCUUACCCCGGUCUUCAAUCGCUGCCUCACGCUGCAUCAGGACUUCUUCUCCGACCCGAUGGGUGGGGAAGAGAUCGAGGAGAUCUUCGACGUCUUUGGGCCCAGUUUUUGCCCCCCGCUCUACCAGCUCUACAUGUCGCGCGGCAACAGCGUGUAGAGGGGCCUUUGGUUGCUCUUGUGUGCGCUCGUGUGCCCCCCCUCCUCUCCCCUCCCCUACCAUCUGUGCACGUUUAGGGGAGGGGCUCGAGGUCGGCCGGCGGGCCUUUGGAUGCCGUUCGCUGAUUCUUUUACGUGUUGGUCGCUGUUGUCUUCACACAUAUUUCCUUUCCUUGUGCUUGGUGCACAUGCGCCGCGCUUGUGUGCCUCCCCCCUUCCCUCUUUCUGUGAGGGACGCGAGGUGGUCGCACGGCCCCCCUCUCGGUGCAUGGCGGAUGAGACUGUCACGCUCUUCUUUUUUGCGUGCGCGUGUCGGCCCUUCUCCUGCAGCCCACACCUGCCCCUCCCCUCCCCGGCUGCACCAGCGGGGCAGUAAAGCCGCUUGCACGGUGUCCAUGGGAGGUGGCUCGACACAGGUGCCGGUGGCAGGGAAGGAAGCAAUACGAAGGGAGGGCAGGAGAAAGCGAGGGAAAAGAAAUGAAGUGAGGUGCCGACAUGGAUCGGCCCACGAUUUUUCCAUGUGUGCGAAGGUGGCUGUUGCCUACGUGUGUGCGCGUGCUCGUCGGUUGAGGUCUGCCCACGCCUGUUUCUCUCUCUCUGUGGUGUCACUGUGUGCGUUGUGGAUAACGCCGUCGAAACGAAAGGAGAAAUCGCUUCUUUGGGUCAGUCAACGUUGCCGAUGUCGUACUGCUGAACGCGCUCCGUUUCACGUCAGCACACAUACACGCGCUCGCGCUUACACACACACACGCACACACGGUUUAUGUAUGCCGCAUAGGACGCGU